GUUUGUGAUUAAGACAGAAAACAACUUGAAGAACGUUUUAGCAGGGGUUCAGAAGAUGAAUGCGGACGUGUCCGCGGUACUCACAGAACUUGUUCUACGAGAAAAGGGGUCUGUGAAAAAUGGCAAAGGGGACGUUCACGUCGAUGACGAGGAAGAGGAUGACAGCGAUGAAGAGGAUGAAAAAGAAAUUCAAGACAGGACAAAGGCUACCAGUUCAGAACCUCCUGCCAAACGCACAAAGUCAUUAAGAGCUUGACUGUCUCAAGCCACAGAGACCAACUGAUGGGAACAUUUACCCUUAAAGACGGCAAUGCUGUUCUGGGGAGGUCAUUGGAUUUUUACAAAUAUAAUGGGAAUGCCUUUUUCUACUUUAAACCUACUUUCAUCCAAACUACAAUUUGCCCUGCUUACCUAUUGGUCAGAAAAAGUGAGUUUAAAAAAUGAGGAUUUGAUGAAACGUGCACUGUAAAAUUUGACCAGUGACACCUAGGUUUUGCUUUCAUAUGUAUGAAUUUGAUUUGUGGGUGUUGGAAUUGCAGCAUUGUCUUUGAAAUGCAGUGAUUAAUGAAACAUGAAGAACCUGUGCUAUUAUUUUAAGGAAAACAUUUUUUUCAAAUUCACCCUCACCCUCGAACCAGCCCACCUCCUUACCCAGAUGUCAGUCAUCCACAUCAGCGGACACCCCACUAUAUCCCAUAGUCCCUUCCCCACUUAAUUCCAACCAAUACAGAGGAAAGAAAAAAAAAAGUAAGUUAAACCAGAAUAAAAAUGUAAAUGUGCCUAUGGUUCCAGGGUUCUUACAUAGCACCACUACAUAGCACCAUUCACUAAUGUAGUUCACCUGCCAUAUUCUGUAAAAUUUGCCAGAGGAUUCUCUCAACAAAGGGCAGCACGGUGGUUCAGUGGGUAGCACUGUUGCCUCACAGCAAGAAGGCUGUGGGUUCAAAUCUCAUCUUGGGCCUUUCUGCAUCUUUUGCAUGUUUUCCCCGGGUUUGUGUCAGUUUCCUCCCACAGUCCAAAGACAUGCAGGUAGGCUCAUUGAAGACUCUAAAUUUCCCAUAAGUGUGAGUGAAUCGUGUGUGUGCCUCAUUCUCUCAUCGAGUAUUAGGUUUUCUAAUCUAAGAUACUGCAUGUCUUUUCCAAUGGUUAUGUGAAAGUGGAGGCAAGUUCAGCAACACUAGUUGAUAAACCAACAAUAAGGCAAGGGCCAGAGAGCCCCUUGCUAGCUGUGGCUUGGGUAAGGCCUAUUUGUUCAGUUCUUAACAGUGCUGAAAGUGUGGGUUCAAAAAACCGAGUGGGUUCAAUAGGACGUUUCAUUAUCUUUGAAUGUUUUGUAUCCUGAACUCCACAAUUCUGUUAACUCAGGGUGUGGCCAGAUUGAAUGGAAAAGUGCCUGGACAGUCUUUCAUCUACAGCAUCACAGAUAGGAUCUAGCUGUGGUUUAAUUUUAUGCUGGACAUUAAACCUGUAUUUCUACAUUAUGAAAUGCAUUAACGGGAUGUUGGAGGGUAACACAAUUCCUUUUUAUGAAAAAUAAAGGAAAUCCAUUCAGCCUUUUCCCACCACUUGUUUAACAAACACACAUUAACUUUUUGUUUUCCAAAAAUUUUAUUUUCUGAAAAUCUGGAGUUUUUCGUAAAUCACAGUACAUGUUUCGAUUUAAAAGGCAAAGACAGUACCAAAACAUAAACACUCAUUCAUCGAUUGGGGGGAAAAAUUACUCGAAAGCACUUUUAGACUAAAAAAGAACAUUUGGACAGUCAUUAAAGUAUUUUUUUGAAAACCUGACUGCAAUCGCCUCAAAAUAUGAUGGAUCACAGCCAACAGAUUAAUUAUUGGCAAAAGCUGUAGCCUACUUCUUUCUUUGGUUAGACAACUGCAGUCGUCCCAGUAGCGUUGUGCUUUAUAUUCUAGGACUGAGUAAUUUCUUUCCCCAAUUUCAUGAACAUUCAUAUAUGGAUAAGUCCUGAAAACAUGAAAAUGUCACAAUUCAAAGUGUUGGUGCGGAGUUGUAUGUAAAAUGACAACAUUGCAGCCUCUUUAUGUUGCAAAUUGAACAGUGUUAAACAUGAGGUUUCCAAAACUAACCUUGCUUGUUAAUUUAGUAUACCCGGCAGACAAAGUUUAUCUAAUAUUUAAUAUAGCAAGACCAAAGGCCAAAGUUUAUCCACUUUUUGUUAUGUCUUCUUAUGCAUCCUCUAUACAAUUGCAAUGUUACCCUCACUUUCCUCCCUUAUUUAACCACAAAGCUGGGAUUUUGCCAGUGAUACGACAGACCUUUUCCUCCCCGAAUAAGACAGUUCUGCACAUCGCUUUUGUUCAGAUAUGAGUAUUAAUUACCAGACAGAUCAACAAUCGCAAACUUGCCCUCAGGGGACAAGGCCACAACAAGAAUCGGACACCAAUACAAAAGAGAAGUCAUUUACAGAUGCAGGUGAAGAAGGUCUUGUCCUCUCUUUUACAGUGCAAAGCAAAAAUUUAACUCGUGUUUCACAAAAUAAGAGAUUCACAAAGGUGUUUUGUCUGAUCCAAAAAGCAUAAUUUAAAAUAAAAUUAAACCAGUUUUUAAAAAGU